UACGAGGGGGGCGAGCGUUGUUCGGAAUUAUUGGGCGUAAAGGGUGCGUAGGCGGUUGGUAAGUCUUGUGUGAAAUCUCCAGGCUCAACUUGGAGUCUGCACGAGAAACUGCCGGGCUUGAGUGUGGGAGAGGUGAGUGGAAUUCCUGGUGUAGCGGUGAAAUGCGUAGAUAUCAGGAGGAACACCUGUGGCGAAAGCGGCUCACUGGACCACAACUGACGCUGAUGCACGAAAGCUAGGGGAGCAAACAGG
rnacentral:rRNA from 1 species